GGUGGCUUAGUGGUAGAGCACUUGCCUUGCAUGCAUAAGGCCCUGGGUUCGAUUCCUCAGCACCA
rnacentral:tRNA from 1 species